GAUGAACGCUGGCGGUCUGCUUAACACAUGCAAGUCGAACGAACUCUUCGGAGUGAGUGGCGGACGGGUGAGUAACGCGUGAGAAUCUGCCUGUGGGUCGGGGACAACCACUGGAAACGGUGGCUAAUACCGGAUGAGCCGAAAGGUAAAAAAUUUAUUGCCCACAGAUGAGCUCGCGUCUGAUUAGCUAGUUGGUAAGGUAAAAGCGUACCAAGGCGACGAUCAGUAGCUGGUCUGAGAGGAUGAGCAGCCACACUGGGACUGAGACACGGCCCAGACUCCUACGGGAGGCAGCAGUGGGGAAUUUUCCGCAAUGGGCGAAAGCCUGACGGAGCAAGACCGCGUGGGGGAAGGAAGGUUUUUGGAUCGUAAACCCCUUUUGUCAAGGAAGAAGUUCUGACGGUACUUGACGAAUAAGCCUCGGCUAACUCCGUGCCAGCAGCCCCGGUAAUACNGAGGAGGCAAGCGUUAUCCGAAUGAUUGGGCGUAAGCGUCUGUGGGUGGCCCCUAAU
rnacentral:rRNA from 1 species